rnacentral:tRNA from 1 species
GACAUAAAUAAUACUCAUGUUACGGCCAUGAGGCAGAUAGUGUAGUCUAUCUUAUGUUU